rnacentral:lncRNA from 10 species
AUUAAUGUCAUUAUCUUGAUUUUACAGAUGAGAAAACUCAAGACUCAGAAACAAUAAAGGUUACAGAGAUGAAAUUGACAGAGCCUGAAUUUCAGUAUGUCAAACUUCAAUGUGCCAUUAUACUUUUAAAUCCUACAGAACAGAUUGAAUCACAACUUCUACUUUUACAUGAGAGAAGACAAUGGGUCCUAUGACUUACUGUCAGUUUCCUUUUCCUGAUUUAAUUAGCUGCUUCUGUAUCUAAUUUUGCUAGGAAUGGAGGAAUAAGGCAAAUUCCCUAAACUACAUAUUGACAUUUAUACUAAUGUGAAAACCUCAAGUCCAUUUGCAGACUUUUGGAUUAGAUUCUGUCCCAGAAAGACAUCCACCCUAGAGUUCAGGAUAUCAUACCCAUUUUACUGUUCCCCUGGCACAAUUCAUAGUAAGGAAAAACAGACAAGGGGAAAGCUAUUAGAUUCUCGGUGCUGCUAAACAGGACACACAAGGACACCAUUUUGUGAUGAUGAUGGUGCUUUAUGCAGCUUCCACCAUUUACAAGAUUUUCCUGUGGUGUGGAACCUCUCAUGAUAAAGCAAAGGAACUAGAAGCUUAUUCCAGUCAAGAUUUCUGAUUUAUCUUGUGGUAAGCAUUUGGGAAGGACAUAUCUGCACAUGACCUGAGACUAAGUACUAUACACUGAAUCAGAUGAAAAUUGCUCUUAGGAAGCUUACAAUUUUCCAAAUAGUUAGGACAAAAACAAACUCUCCUUCUCUCUUCCUAUAUGUACAUACUGACAUCUUUAUCAUUACUGUCUUCCUAGGGUUAUGAUUCUGUAUGGUUUCUUUGGUGCUGCAUUAGACCUGAGCUCUGAUUGAAAAUUCUUCCACGCUCGCUACAUUCCAAAACUUUAUCUCCAAUAUGAAUUUCCAGAUGCCUCACAAGGUCUGAGCUCCAUCUGAAGGCUUUCCCAUGCUUGUCACAUUCAUAGGGCUUUUCUCCACUAUGAAUUCUAUGAUGUCGAAUAAAGUGUGAGCUCUGAUUACAAGUCUUUGAACAUUCAUUGCAUUCACAAAGUUUCUUUCCACUGUGAAUUCUUUGAUGCUGAAUAAGUUGUGAGCUCCCCUUCAAAUCUUUCCCACACCCAAUGCAUUUAUAAGGCCUCUCUCUCACCUUGUAUGGAUUCUCUGAUGUUCUGUAAGGACUGAGUUCUGGCCAGGCGCAGUGGCUCACGCCUGUAAUCCCAGCACUUUGGGAAACCGAGGCGGGUGGAUCAGCUGGGCUCAGGAGUUCGAGACCAGCCUGGCCAGCAUGGUGAAAGCCCCUCUCUACUAAAAAUACAAAAAUUAGCCGGGUGUGGUGGUGGGUGCCUGUAAUCCCAGCUAAUUGGGAGGCUGGGGCUGGAGAAUUACUUGAACCUGGGAGGUGGAGGUUGCAGUGAGCCGAGAUCGGGCCACUGCACUCCAGCCUGGCAGCAGUGUGAGACUCCGUCCCAAAAAAUAACAAACAAACAAAAAAGACACCAGAGGGCUUUGGGUCCCUCUCUCUCUGCCAUGUGAGGACCCUGUGAGAAGGCAGCCAGGGAGCUCUCACCAGAACCUGACCAUGUUGGGCCCUGGUCACAGCCUUGCAGCCUCCAAAACUGAGAAAAUAAAUUUCUGUUGUCUGGC